rnacentral:piRNA from 1 species
UGCGUUUUCGAGUAAAUAUAC